UGUUCUUCAUAGUUUCAUUCCCUCGAGUGAAUGAGGCGUAUGAAGAACACCGCGUCUUGCACAACAGUCAUGCACAAUGUCGCAAGACACCUGCGCCAUUGUGCAUGACUCCUCGCCCGAUGCCGCUCAACACCGGCUCGCCCUGUCAACUUUCACUCCUGGCGAAAGUUGAUUCGGCGUCCUUCCGGGUUCGAGUGAUGCCUCCCACAUGAUCUCUCUUGUUGCAUGAUUCGGUGUUCUUCAUAGUUUCAUUCCCUCGAGUGAAUGAGGCGUAUGAAGAACACCGCGUCUUGCACAACAGUCAUGCACAAUGUCGCAAGACACCUGCGCCAUUGUGCAUGACUCCUCGCCCGAUGCCGCUCAACACCGGCUCGCCCUGUCAACUUUCACUCCUGGCGAAAGUUGAUUCGGCGUCCUUCCGGGUUCGAGUGAUGCCUCCCACAUGAUCUCUCUUGUUGCAUGAUUCGGUGUUCUUCAUAGUUUCAUUCCCUCGAGUGAAUGAGGCGUAUGAAGAACACCGCGUCUUGCACAACAGUCAUGCACAAUGUCGCAAGACACCUGUGCCUUUGUGCAUGACUCCUCGCCCGAUGCCGCUCAACACCG